UGGUGCAUUGUACCCGUUCGGCUGAAAACAGCGUGGGCUAAGUGGUGAGGAACUUUGCUGAGUUCCAUUUCUCGCAGCCAAGUUUGGAUGGGAAAGAGUUCCCUAGGAGCCAGGAUGUGGUAUGCUGUGGGUGGGCCCGGGCUUGCUGGGAGAGAGUGGAGGCAGCGGGCAUGUCCACAUUUGGUGGUCGCUCUUGUCUCCCAGACCGCUGUGCGCCCUGGACUGCUGUGGUGGAGGGGUCCGGAGUUCGGUGGUUUCUGAAAACCAUGAAAUGCCUGCUUAUUGCUCCACAUUUCUGCUUUCUCAUUUUCCUUAAACUCAUUCUGCAACGGAGAUGUUGUGUGGCCAGCCCUGAAGCAAAAAGAUAACCGGUUAAGCAAGUUGCACUUUUUUUGUCCUUUCUUUCUUUCUUUCUUUUUUCCCAAGAACCACUGCCUCCCACACCAAAGUCUUCAUUUCACGAGGUCACGGUUGCUUCACUUAUUUCUGCUCUGCCGGAGCCUUAGACGCAGGCCUCUGGGGGGACUUACUCAGAUCCAUGUUUGUAUUUAUGGUUUCUGUCAAAGCCAAUGUGCUUGCAUGAUGGAGUAUGAUCAAGUGGAUUACUAAGAAGCUAGGAGGAUUAGGCCUGGAGCCACAAGUGUAAACGCCUCCCCAGGGCUCCCUGAUUCGCCCCCCACCCCGGCUCUGGGGUGCUGCUGGGGCUUUCCAGUAGACUCCUGGCUAACAAAGAGUCCCUGAGGGGGUAGUUUCAGUUGGGAGGCUCCUUGGCUCUUCGGAGAGUAUCUUGCUCCAGAGGCCAGAAUUUAAAUUUGAGCUGUUCUCCACAGCCCGGAGUGAGGGGCGGGGCCUGGUCCUGCUGUGCUGGAGCGAGGACUUCUGUGUCAUGGCACUCCCAAGGGAAACUGAGAGCCUCAGACCACUCAGAAGAGGUGGUGCAGAGAGAGAAUGCUGGUCACGCCGUUUUGCAUCUUUGGAGCUACAGCCACAAAGAAGAAACUUGGUUCUGCUCAGACUCCAGAGAUGAUGGAACUGACAUACGCAUCAGUGGGAAAGAACAAUGUGAUGGAAGCCGGAGACGAAUUAUUUUCUGGAGUGAGAAUUGUGUACAGCAGAGGCAAUUUAUCAUGUCACAUCAUCACUGAAAUUAUCUUCCUACUUCCUGCCAGCCCAUCAGAAGCCGUGCUUCAGUGGCUUCCUUAGUGUUAUUUAAGCAAAUGAAAUAUGCUUGCUUCUAGCUUUAUCUGUUUACGUAAUUUUUGUACUGCCUCAGUAAGAGAAUGUGUAUUAAUAACCUUGUAUACUUUAUAGAUAGUCAUAGAUAUUUAUGACAAUAUUUUUGCAGCCGUAUGAUAAAAUAAGCAUUGCAUUCCAGACAGGGUCAGAUCGACCAACACUUGCUGGCAUAAUCCUUUAUAUUUGAUGCCAACUCUACUAAAUUAAAUACAGUUAAAGCGAAAUCACUUUAUCAUGAGCAUAAAGAUCUGGUGGGUUUUCCACGUAGCUGGAGGGGCAAAGGGAGUGUGGUUGAAGAGGAUUUUCUUCAAAGGGUCAUAACAAGAUGUUUUCCAUGCCGCUUGACAGAGGCAAGAUUUUGAAAUGGGUAGCUGCAUAAAUGAACUGGAGAGUCUAGACAGCAUUUGAAACUGAUGUCUUCUGAAAAGAUAACGUUGAGGGUUAACAUUGGCUCCAUUUUACAGAGGUGCCUCAGGGAACAUGUAACAAGCUUACCUUCUAUUUCUGGUCCAUUUCUAGUUUAAAAUAUUUGAUGCUUUACCUUUACAGGCAUCCCCACUGACAACUUUUAAGAGCUUGCAAAGGGAUAGUAAUGUUUGAACAUAGAUAUUAGCACAUUUCCUUUCCCAUUGUCUUUGAGCUUCCACCUUCCUUCCCUUCAGUGCUGUUCUUUGCUUCUUCACCUCCGGAAAGAGGCACUAUGCAGCAGGAGUCCUCUGAGUGCUAUCCAGCCUGUGGUCAUUGAGCGACUGCUUAAACUCUUCCGUGCUGACCAUCUCUCCUUCUUUGUCAGGGCCCCGGGUAUUAGGAGGGUCCUUCCUGAUACAGAAGCCAAGACAGCUUCACCAUCACACCCACCUGCUCGUAGCUCUGGCCUCGGGAGUGAACAGAUACACCCUCUUCCAUAUGCCAGCCCUUCCAAUAUUCAAAAUAAAAAAACCUUCUGUGUCCGUCCUUAGUUGUUU
rnacentral:lncRNA from 1 species